rnacentral:rRNA from 1 species
UACGAAGGGGGCUAGCGUUGUUCGGAAUCACUGGGCGUAAAGGGCGCGUAGGCGGCCUGAUAAGUAGGGGGGUGAAAUCCUGUGGCUUAACUGCAGGGCUGCCUCCUAGACUGUUAGGCUCGAGCACGGUAGAGGCAGAUGGAAUUCCCGGUGUAGCGGUGGAAUGCGUAGAGAUCGGGAAGAACAUCGGUGGCGAAGGCGGUCUGCUGGGCCGUUGCUGACGCUGAGGCGCGACAGCGUGGGGGAGCAAACAGG